GUAAUUUUGCUUAAUUUGCAACAAAUUUAACAUCGACAACUAUAAAUGUGAUGAAAUAUGACAAUAACACGUCUAGUCAACCAACUUGUUUGACUACAGGGGCUACCCAAAUUGUGUCAUUUAAAAACAUCUCUUUGGUGCCCAAAUUAAACUGCCUGCUACUAAGGCCCAUAGGCUAGGAUAUGCAUAUAAUUAGUAGAUUUGGAUAGAAAACUCAAGUUUACAAUACUGUUAAAAAAAUGUCUGCGAGUAUAACAGAACUGAUAUGGCAGGCGAAAACCCGAGGAAAAUCCAACCAAGAAGUACUAUUAUUUUGAAAGGCUGUUUUUCCAUUGAAAGCCUAUCCACCAUACAAAGACUUAGGACCCACGAUCUCUAUGGCUUCCUCUACAUGUGGCCAGUCUUUAGGCAUUGGAGAACGACGUGGGCUACAUGGUGCACGUGGUAACAGUGCAUCAGAAGGAGAGGGAGCGAGAGGGCAGCGUUUCCCAGCAUCCCCUGAUGGGCCAACAAGGACGCCUUGACUCGCUAUUCGUGCACCUUCGCUGAGAUGGUCAGGUUCAACCGGGUGUACGAGGAAGCUAAAGUCCUCCUAGCCAGAUAUGUCAGGAGCUUGAGGACGCAGACACCCCGUUAUCCUGGGAGUGCGAUGGCCGCCUUGAUUGACUACAUUCAGCGCAGAGACCAGGAGGGGGUAGCUGCUGUGGCCAGGCCCGCCCCAGCCAGCACCACCCCCGCCAGUAACGCCCGGCCCAAGAGUGCGGCUACGCCUCUUGGUCCUGCGAUAUCUGCGUUCCUUUCAAGGCGCUCUCUCGCCCCAGGUGAACUGCAGGCGAAGAUGAAGAAACUCAUUGCAGUUCAAGCCGUAGACCUACAGGUCCCCCCAUCACUCCCUCGGCCUCUGCCUCCAGCUGACCAAGCCCCUGUUCCUGCCCCGGCCUCUGCUCCGCUGGGGCAGAGAGAAUUGGAUUUGCCCCGGUAGUCCUUCCUGCCUCCAAGGCCGCCCUCCGUUUCUCUGAAACAUUACCAUCCCUUCUCCCCCAUCACUCUCUCCUCUCACUCAGCUGCUGCUUCCACAGAGUUGGUGUUCAUCUCUCACCAAGGAGCAGCAGCGGUGGAUCGGCCGCACGCUGUUCACCAGGAAUUGCCGACCCGUGCCGUCAUCAUUGCUUGAACAAAAUGAGCUUCACAGGCAAGGAUAUUGCUGCCGGUAAGAUUGCACCUAAAUCAACCAUUUAUCGGAUCAUCAAGAACUUCAAGGAGAGCGGUACAACUGUUGUGAAGAAGGCUUCAGGGCGCCCAAGAAAGUCCAGCAAGUGCCAGGACCGUCUCCUAAAGUUGACUCAGCUGCGGGAUCUACAGAGCUUGCUCAGGAAUGGCAGCAGGCAGGUGUGAGUGCAUCUGCAUGCACAGUGAGGCAAAGACUUUUGGAGGAUGGCCUGGUGUCAAGAAGGGCAGCAAAGAAGCCACUACUCUCCAGCAAAAACAUCAGGGACAGACUGAUUUUCUGCAAAAGGUACAGGGAUUGGACUGUUGGACUGGGUUAAAGUCAUUUUCUCUGAUGAAUCCCCUUUCCGAUUGUUCCGGGGAAGACAAGGUGAGCGCUACCAUCAGACCUGUGUCAUGCCAGCAGUAAAGCAUCCUGAGACCAUUCAUGUGUGGGGUUGCUUCUCAGCCAAGGGAGUGGGCUCACUCACAAUUUUGACUAAGAACACAGCCAUGAAUAAAGAAUGGUACCAACACAUCCUCAAGAGCAACUUCUCCCAACCAUCCAGGAACAGUUUGGUUACGAACCAUGCCUUUUCCAGCAUGGAGCACCUUGCCAUAAGGCAAAAGUGAUAACUAAGUGGCCCGGGGAACAAAACAUAUAUAUUUUGGGUCCAUGGCCAGGAAACUCCCCAGACCUUAAUCCCAUUGAGAACAAUCCUCAAGAGGCGGGUGGACAAACAAAAACGUACAAAUUCUGACAAACUCCAAGCAUUGAUUAUGCAAGAAUGGGCUGCCAUCAGUCAGGAUGUGGCCCAGAAGUUAAUUGACAGCAUGCCAGGGCAGAUUGCAGAGGUUUGAAAAAG
ensembl:lncRNA